GACGAACGCUGGCGGCGUGCUUAACACAUGCAAGUCGAACGGAAAGGCCCUGCUUUUGUGGGGUGCUCGAGUGGCGAACGGGUGAGUAACACGUGAGUAACCUGCCCUUGACUUUGGGAUAACUUCGGGAAACUGGGGCUAAUACCGGCUAGGAGCUCCUGCUGCAUGGUGGGGGUUGGAAAGUUCCGGCGGUUGGGGAUGGACUCGCGGCUUAUCAGCUUGUUGGUGGGGUAGUGGCUUACCAAGGCUUUGACGGGUAGCCGGCCUGAGAGGGUGACCGGCCGCAUUGGGACUGAGAUACGACCCAAACUCCUACGGGGGGCAGCGGUGGAGAAUAUGCCACAAUGGGCGGAAGCCAGAUGCAGCAACACCGCGUGCGGGAUGACGGCCGUCGGGAUGUAAACCGCUUUGGCCUGUGACGAAGCGGGAGUGGCGUUAACGGGUAAAGAAGCACCGGCUAACUACGUG
rnacentral:rRNA from 1 species